UUUUAUUUUUCCUUCUUUCGAGAAGCACUAACGUGUUCCGCCAGAUCGUUCCAUUGAAAAGUACAUCACUUACGUAGACGGCUUGUCACCACUGCCAAUCUGGGGCCUCCCGCGCGACCUUUCUGCCAUUGACGAAUCAGGAUUCGCUCGCAGAUACGCUAGAGCCAAGAGCUACGCCACAACGUCGUGGGUUUUGAUCAACUCGUUCGAAGAACUCGAGGGCAGUGCCACCUUCCAAGCCCUCCGAGACAUCUCUCCCAAAGCAAUCGCAGUGGGUCCUCUUUUCACCAUGGCCCCCGGCUGCAACAAGGCAAGCUUGUGGAAGGAAGACACCGAGAGUUUAUCCUGGCUCGGCAAGCAAAGUCCCGGCUCGGUUCUCUACAUUUCCUUGGGCAGCAUCGCGACCCUCAGCUUCGAUCAGUUCAAGGAGUUCUCCGAGGGACUGAGGCUUCUCCAGCGUCCGUUUAUCUGGGCCAUCCGACCCAAGUCGGUCGCCGGCAUGGAGCCCGAGUUCCUGGAGCGUUUCAAGGAGGCCGUGAGGAGCUUUGGACUGGUUGUGAGCUGGGCUCCUCAGGUGGACAUCCUCCGCCACCCUUCCACGGCUGGAUUUCUCAGUCACUGCGGCUGGAACUCCAUCCUCGAGAGCGUAGCAUCCGCGGUGCCCAUGCUUUGCUGGCCGUGCGUCGCGGAGCAGAAUCUAAACUGCAAGUUGAUAGUGGAGGACUGGAAGAUCGGUCUCAAGUUCUCGUGCGUGACCAUGCCGGAUCCUCCCGAGGUGAUGGCGAGGGACGAGUUUGUGGAGGUGGUGGAGCGAUUCAUGGGAACUGACAGUGAGCAUUUGAGGAUUAACGUGAAGAAGCUGAGCGAGGAGGCUCGUAGAGCAGUGUCUAGUGGUGGCUCCUCAUAUGAAAACCUGGAGAGAUUUGCUCAAGCAGUGAAAAUUUCCUAAACUUCAAUCCAAAGCUAAGAGAAAACUUCAAAGCAUCUACUCUAUUCAAGAAUAUACUACAGUUCUUUCUCUCUCUCUCUGAAGAUAAGCACGCGCUUUGCGCGUAUAAUGGGUUCCAAGGUCAAUGUUGUCGCAAUUCCUCUCCCAGCUCAAGGCCACAUCUCUCCACUCUUGCAUCUCUGCCAAGCUCUCACUUUCAUCCUUUGGGGGAUGCUAUCUCCAAAACACGCAACCAUGAGGGAAUGUGCUGGACUUUGUUACGUGCAAAAACCCAUGGCUAAUGUGCUAAUGUAGACUCUAAGGUGAUGCUUUAUAUCAGAAACUGAUGUGAGGAGAAGAAACUAAAGAAAAACAAAGAAAAAAUAAUAAUAAGAAAGAGAGUGUAAAGUUCUGGAGUCAAAGGGGAACCACAUGGGGAAACUUGAUAAAAGAAUUAAACACUAAAAAAUGGAAAAACAAAAAGUGAAAAAAACUAAAGAGCAAAGAACAGCUUAAAGAAAUACUAGCAAGAUUGGAAGAGCUCUAGAGGCCAGUUAGAAUGGCCAUUUGUCUCAAGUUGGUCCCUGGCAUAGAGCCCGAGUUCCUGGAGGCUUUCAAGGCUCUCCUUGCAAGUGAUCAGCUUUGGACAGGUUGUGAGCUGGGCUCCUCAACUGGAAAUCCUCCAGCAUCCUUCCACAGGCUGCGAGAGUGUAUCUUCAGCGGUGCCAAUCCUUUGCUGGCCAUGAGUUGCCAAGCAGAAUCUCAACUGCAAGCUUAUAGUGGAAGACUGGAAGAUCGAUCUUAAGUUCCCGCCCAUGAGAGAUCCUCGCAAGGUUUAGAUGUAAUGUGAAGGAGCUCAGCGAGGCUGCUCAGGGAGCAACAGUGAAAGAAGGCAGGAUCUUCAUAUGAAAGUUUGGACAAGUUUGUCAAGUUUCAUAAGGUAACUUAUAUCCAAUGCCGCAGCUGGUGGCAGGAGGAUCAUCGGGCAUGAGGGCGGGGCCAAUGCACAGACAGACCAACCACCAAGAGCACAUAAAGAUGAUACUUGAAAGUGUAUAGGUUGGUGGAAGUGUUAUUUUCCUUCCCAAAGAAAUAGAUGGCGUAAUCAAGAGGAGUAAAACAUUCCUGAAGGAGAACACUAGAUUAAAACAUUUGCAAAACGCACUGAUUCUUAAGCUCAGCCUUGGAGCGAUUUGAAGCUUAUCCAGAAAAGGUAUUGUGAGAAACGGCAGCACCUUCCAGAGCACUCACGAAGUAAGCUUGAAUUUUCUUUGUUCUUCGUCAAUGGGUUCUUCUACUGGUGCCGAGGGGCUCGCUCCUCAUGCAGCGGUUCUUCCCGUUCCAACCCAAGGCCACAUCACUCCAUUCCUCCAUCUCUCCAGAGCGCUGGCGUCGCGAGGCUUCGUCAUAACUUUCAUCAACACGGAGGCCAACCACAGGGACUUGAAGGACAUCGUUUCGCAGGAGGAGAGCUUUGGCUAUGGCGGCGGCAUUCGCUUCGAGACGGUCCCGGGCAUCCAAGCGAGCGACGUCGACUUCGCGGUCCCGGAGAAGCGGGGGAUGUUGUCCGAGGCAGUGAUGGAGAUGCAAGCUCCAGUGGAAAGCUUGCUCAUCAGGAACAUGGCCAGAGACGAUGAUCUCGUUCCUCCGGUCUCGUGCUUCAUCUCGGAUAUGUUCCCGUGGUCCGCGGAAGUAGCAAGAAGGACUGGAAUCCCAGAGGUCAAGUUCUGGACCGCCAGUGCCUCUUGCGUUUUGCUCGAUUGCUCGUUUCCGCGAAUGCUGGAGAAGGGAGACGUUCCAGUCCAAGGUAAAGCUUCUUUCUUCUUUUUUAUUUGUCCUUCACUAACGUGUUCCGCCAGAUCGUUCCAUUGAAAAGUACAUCACUUACGUAGACGGCUUGUCACCACUGCCAAUCUGGGGCCUCCCGCGCGACCUUUCUGCCAUUGACGAAUCAAGAUUCGCUCGCAGAUACGCUAGAGCCAAGAGCUACGCCACAACGUCGUGGGUUUUGGUCAACUCGUUCGAAGAACUCGAGGGCAGUGCCACCUUCCAAGCCCUCCGAGACAUCUCUCCCAAAGCAAUCGCAGUGGGUCCUCUUUUCACCAUGGUCCCCGGCUCCAACAAGGCAAGCUUGUGGAAGGAAGACACCGAGAGUUUAUCCUGGCUCGGCAAGCAAAGUCCCGGCUCGGUUCUCUACAUUUCCUUGGGCAGCAUGGCGACUCUCAGCUUCGAUCAGUUCAAGGAGUUCUCCGAGGGACUGACGCUUCUCCAGCGUCCGUUUAUCUGGGCCAUCCGACCCAAGUCGGUCGCCGGCAUGGAGCCCGAGUUCCUGGAGCGUUUCAAGGAGGCCGUGAGGAGCUUUGGACUGGUUGUGAGCUGGGCUCCUCAGGUGGACAUCCUCCGCCACCCUUCCACGGCUGGAUUUCUCAGUCACUGCGGCUGGAACUCCAUCCUCGAGAGCGUAGCAUCCGCGGUGCCCAUGCUUUGCUGGCCGUGCGUCGCGGAGCAGAAUCUAAACUGCAAGUUGAUAGUGGAGGACUGGAAGAUCGGUCUCAAGUUCUCGUGCGUGACCAUGCUGGAUCCUCCCGAGGUGAUGGCGAGGGACGAGUUUGUGGAGGUGGUGGAGCGAUUCAUGGGAACUGACAGUGAGCAUUUGAGGAUUAACGUGAAGAAGCUGAGCGAGGAGGCUCGUAGAGCAGUGUCUAGUGGUGGCUCCUCGUAUGAAAACCUGGAGAGAUUUGCUCAAGCAGUGAAAAUUUCCUAAACUUCAAUCCACGGCUAAGAGAAAACUUCAAAGCAUCUACUCUACUCAAGAAUAUACUACUCUUUCUCUCUCUCUCUGAAGAUAAGCACGCGCUUUGCGCGUAUAAUGGGUUCCAAGAUCAAUGUUGUGGCGAUUCCUUUCCCCUCUCCACUCUUGCAUCUCUGCCAAGCUCUCACUUUCAUCCUUUGGGGGAUGCUAUCUCGAAAACACGCAACCACGAGGGAAUGUGUUAGACUUUGUCAUGUGCAAGAACCCAUGGCUAAUGUGUUAAUGUAGACUCCAAGGUGAUGCCUUAUGUCAGAAACUGCUGCGAGGAAAAGAAACUAAAGAAAAACAAAGAAAAAAUAAUAAGUGUAAAGUUCUGGAGUUAAAAAGGAAUCACAUGAGGAAACUUGAUAAAAGAAUUAAACACUAAAAAAUGAAAAAACAAAGUGAAAAAAGCUGAAGAGUAAGGAACAGCUUAUAGAAAUACUAACAAGAUUGGAAGAGCUCUAGAGGCCAGUUAUAAUGGCCAUUUGUCUCAAGUUGGUCCCUGGCAUAGAGCCCGAGUUCCUGGAGGCUUUCAAGGCUCUCCUUGAAAGUGAUCAGCUUUGGAUUGGUUGUGAGCUGGGCUCCUCAACUGGAAAUCCUCCAGCAUCUUUCCACAAGCUGCGAGAGUGUAUCUUCAGCAGUGCCAAUCCUUUGCUGGCCAUGAGUUGCCAAGCAGAAUCUCAACUGCAAGCUUAUAGUGGAAGACUGGAAGAUCGAUCUUAAGUUCUCGCCCAUGAGAUAUCCUCGCAAGGUGGUGGCAGGGACGAGUUUGUGGAGGUGGUGGAGCAACUCAUGGGAGCUGCGAGUGGCAAUUCCUUUAGAUGUAAUGUGAAGGAGCUCAGCGAGGCUGCUCAGGGAGCAACAGUGAAAGAAGGCAGGAUCUUCAUAUGAAAGUUUGGACAAGUUCGUCAAGUUUCAUAAGGUAAUUUAUAUCCAAUGCCGCAGCUGGUGGCAGGACGAUCAUCGGGCAUGAGGGCGGGGCCAAUGCACAGACAGACCAACCACCAAGAGCACAUAAAGAUGAUACUUGAAAGUGUAUAGGUUGGUGGAAGUGUUAUUUUCCUUCCCAAAGAAAUAGAUGGCGUAAUCAAGAGGAGUAAAACAUUCCUGAAGGAGAACACUAGAUUAAAACCUUUGCAAAACGCACUGAUUCUUAAGCUCAGCCUUGGAGCGAUUUCAAGCUUAUCCAGAAAAGGUAUUGUGAGAAACGGCAGCACCUUCCAGAGCACUCACGAAGUAAGCUUGAAUUUUCUUUGUUCUUCGUCAAUGGGUUCUUCUACUGGUGCCGAGGGGCUCGCUCCUCACGCAGCGGUUCUUCCCAUUCCAACGCUACGCCACAUCACUCCAUUCCUCCAUCUCUCCAGAGCUCUGGCCUCGCGAGGCUUCGUCAUAACUUUCAUCAACACGGAGGGCAACCACAGGGACUUGAAGGACAUCGUUUCACAGGAGGAGAGCUUUGGCUAUGGCGGCGGCAUUCGCUUCGAGACGGUCCCGGGCAUCCAAGCGAGCGACGUCGACUUCGCGGUCCCGGAGAAGCGGGGGAUGUUGUCCGAGGCAGUGAUGGAGAUGCAGGCUCCAGUGGAAAGCUUGCUCAUCAGGAACAUGGCCAGAGACGAUGAUCUCGUUCCUCCGGUCUCGUGCUUCAUCUCGGAUAUGUUCCCGUGGUCCGCGGAAGUAGCAAGAAGGACUGGAAUCCCAGAGGUCAAGUUCUGGAUCGCCAGUGCCUCUUGCGUUUUGCUCGAUUGCUCGUUUCCGCGAAUGCUGGAGAAGGGAGACGUUCCAGUCCAAGGUAAAGCUUCUUUCUUCUUUUUUAUUUGUCCUUCUUUCGAGAAGCACUAACGUGUUCCGCCAGAUCGUUCCAUUGAAAAGUACAUCACUUACGUAGACGGCUUGUCACCACUGCCAAUCUGGGGCCUCCCGCGCGACCUUUCUGCCAUUGACGAAUCAAGAUUCGCUGGCAGAUACGCUAGAGCCAAGAGCUUCGCCACAACGUCGUGGGUUUUGGUCAACUCGUUCGAAGAACUCGAGGGCAGUGCCACCUUCCAAGCCCUCCGAGACAUCUCUCCCAAAGCAAUCGCUGUGGGUCCUCUUUUCACCAUGGCCCCCGGCUGCAACAAGGCAAGCUUGUGGAAGGAAGACACCGAGAGUUUAUCCUGGCUCGGCAAGCAAAGUCCCGGCUCGGUUCUCUACAUUUCCUUGGGCACCAUCGCGACUCUCAGCUUCGAUCAGUUCAAGGAGUUCUCCGAGGGACUGAGGCUUCUCCAGCGUCCGUUUAUCUGGGCCAUCCGACCCAAGUCGGUCGCCGGCAUGGAGCCCGAGUUCCUGGAGCGUUUCAAGGAGGCCGUGAGGAGCUUUGGACUGGUUGUGAGCCGGGCUCCUCAGGUGGACAUCCUCCGCCACCCUUCCACGGCUGGAUUUCUCAGUCACUGCGGCUGGAACUCCAUCCUCGAGAGCGUAGCAUCCGCGGUGCCCAUGCUUUGCUGGCCGUGCGUCGCGGAGCAGAAUCUAAACUGCAAGUUGAUAGUGGAGGACUGGAAGAUCGGUCUCAAGUUCUCGUGCGUGACCAUGCCGGAUCCUCCCGAGGUGAUGGCGAGGGACGAGUUUGUGGAGGUGGUGGAGCGAUUCAUGGGAACUGACAGUGAGCAUUUGAGGAUUAACGUGAAGAAGCUGAGCGAGGAGGCUCGUAGAGCAGUGUCUAGUGGUGGCUCCUCAUAUGAAAACCUGGAGAGAUUUGCUCAAGCAGUGAAAAUUUCCUAAACUUCAAUCCAAAGCUAAGAGAAAACUUCAAAGCAUCUACUCUAUUCAAGAAUAUACUACAGUUCUUUCUCUCUCUCUCUGAAGAUAAGCACGCGCUUUGCGCGUAUAAUGGGUUCCAAGGUCAAUGUUGUCGCAAUUCCUCUCCCAGCUCAAGGCCACAUCUCUCCACUCUUGCAUCUCUGCCAAGCUCUCACUUUCAUCCUUUGGGGGAUGCUAUCUCCGAAACACACAACCAUGAGGGAAUGUGCUGGACUUUGUCACGUGCAAGAACCCAUGGCCAAUGUGCUAGUGUAGACUCCAAGGUGAUGCCUUAUGUCAGAAACUGAUGCAAAAAGAAGAAACUAAAGAAAAACAAAAAAAAUAAUAAUAAGAAGAAAGAGAGUGUAAAGUUCUGGAGUCAAAAGGGAACCAUAUGAGGAAAUUUGAUAAAAGAACUAAACACUAAAAAAUGGAAAAACAAAAAGUGAAAAAAACUAAAGAGCAAGGAACAGCUUAAAGAAGAGCUCUAGAGGCCAGUUAUAAUGGCCAUUUGUCUCAAGUUGGUCCCUGGCAUAGAGCCUGAGUUCCUGGAGGCUUUCAAGGCUCUCCUUGAAAGUGAUCAGCUUUGGACUGGUUGUGAGCUGGGCUCCUCAACCGGAAAUCCUCCAGCAUCCUUCCACAGGCUGCGAGAGUGUAUCUUCAGCAGUGCCAAUCCUUUGCUGGUCAUGAGUUGCCGAGCAGAAUCUCAACUGCAAGCUUAUAGUGGAAAACUGGAAGAUCGAUCUUAAGUUCUCACCCAUGAGAGAUCCUUGCAAGGUGGUGGCAGGGAUGAGUUUGUGGAGGUGGUGGAGCAACUCAUGGGAGCUGAGAGUGGCGAUUCCUUUAGAUGUAAUGUGAAGGAGCUCAGCGAGGCUGCUCAGGGAGCAACAGUGAAAGAAGUCAAGAUCUUCAUAUGAAAGUUUGGACAAGUUUGUCAAGUUUCAUAAGGUAAUUUAUAUCCAAUGCCGCAGCUGGUGGCAGGACGAUCAUCGGGCAUGAGGGCGGGGCCAAUGCACAGACAGACCAACCACCAAGAGCACAUAAAGAUGAUACUUGAAAGUGUAUAGGUUGGUGGAAGUGUUAUUUUCCUUCCCAAAGAAAUAGAUGGCGUAAUCAAGAGGAGUAAAACAUUCCUGAAGGAGAACACUAGAUUAAAACCUUUGCAAAACGCACUGAUUCUUAAGCUCAGCCUUGGAGCGAUUUCAAGCUUAUCCAGAAAAGGUAUUGUGAGAAACGGCAGCACCUUCCAGAGCACUCACGAAGUAAGCUUGAAUUUUCUUUGUUCUUCGUCAAUGGGUUCUUCUACUGGUGCCGAGGGGCUCGCUCCUCACGCAGCGGUUCUUCCCAUUCCAACGCUACGCCACAUCACUCCAUUCCUCCAUCUCUCCAGAGCUCUGGCCUCGCGAGGCUUCGUCAUAACUUUCAUCAACACGGAGGGCAACCACAGGGACCUGAAGGACAUCGUUUCACAGGAGGAGAGCUUUGGCUAUGGCGGCGGCAUUCGCUUCGAGACGGUCCCGGGCAUCCAAGCGAGCGACGUCGACUUCGCGGUCCCGGAGAAGCGGGGGAUGUUCUCCGAGGCAGUGAUGGAGAUGCAGGCUCCAGUGGAAAGCUUGCUCAUCAGGAACAUGGCCAGAGACGAUGAUCUCGUUCCUCCGGUCUCGUGCUUCAUCUCGGAUAUGUUCCCGUGGUCCGCGGAAGUAGCAAGAAGGACUGGAAUCCCAGAGGUCAAGUUCUGGAUCGCCAGUGCCUCUUGCGUUUUGCUCGAUUGCUCGUUUCCGCGAAUGCUGGAGAAGGGAGACGUUCCAGUCCAAGGUAAAGCUUCUUUCUUCUUUUUUAUUUGUCCUUCUUUCGAGAAGCACUAACGUGUUCCGCCAGAUCGUUCCAUUGAAAAGUACAUCACUUACGUAGACGGCUUGUCACCACUGCCAAUCUGGGGCCUCCCGCGCGACCUUUCUGCCAUUGACGAAUCAAGAUUCGCUGGCAGAUACGCUAGAGCCAAGAGCUUCGCCACAACGUCGUGGGUUUUGGUCAACUCGUUCGAAGAACUCGAGGGCAGUGCCACCUUCCAAGCCCUCCGAGACAUCUCUCCCAAAGCAAUCGCUGUGGGUCCUCUUUUCACCAUGGCCCCCGGCUGCAACAAGGCAAGCUUGUGGAAGGAAGACACCGAGAGUUUAUCCUGGCUCGGCAAGCAAAGUCCCGGCUCGGUUCUCUACAUUUCCUUGGGCACCAUCGCGACUCUCAGCUUCGAUCAGUUCAAGGAGUUCUCCGAGGGACUGAGGCUUCUCCAGCGUCCGUUUAUCUGGGCCAUCCGACCCAAGUCGGUCGCCGGCAUGGAGCCCGAGUUCCUGGAGCGUUUCAAGGAGGCCGUGAGGAGCUUUGGACUGGUUGUGAGCCGGGCUCCUCAGGUGGACAUCCUCCGCCACCCUUCCACGGCUGGAUUUCUCAGUCACUGCGGCUGGAACUCCAUCCUCGAGAGCGUAGCAUCCGCGGUGCCCAUGCUUUGCUGGCCGUGCGUCGCGGAGCAGAAUCUAAACUGCAAGUUGAUAGUGGAGGACUGGAAGAUCGGUCUCAAGUUCUCGUGCGUGACCAUGCCGGAUCCUCCCGAGGUGAUGGCGAGGGACGAGUUUGUGGAGGUGGUGGAGCGAUUCAUGGGAACUGACAGUGAGCAUUUGAGGAUUAACGUGAAGAAGCUGAGCGAGGAGGCUCGUAGAGCAGUGUCUAGUGGUGGCUCCUCAUAUGAAAACCUGGAGAGAUUUGCUCAAGCAGUGAAAAUUUCCUAAACUUCAAUCCAAAGCUAAGAGAAAACUUCAAAGCAUCUACUCUAUUCAAGAAUAUACUACAGUUCUUUCUCUCUUUCUCUGAAGAUAAGCACGCGCUUUGCGCGUAUAAUGGGUUCCAAGGUCAAUGUUGUCGCAAUUCCUCUCCCAGCUCAAGGCCACAUCUCUCCACUCUUGCAUCUCUGCCAAGCUCUCACUUUCAUCCUUUGGGGGAUGCUAUCUCCAAAACACACAACCAUGAGGGAAUGUGCUGGACUUUGUCACGUGCAAGAACCCAUGGCCAAUGUGCUAGUGUAGACUCCAAGGUGAUGCCUUAUGUCAGAAACUGAUGCAAAAAGAAGAAACUAAAGAAAAACAAAAAAAAUAAUAAUAAGAAGAAAGAGAGUGUAAAGUUCUGGAGUCAAAAGGGAACCAUAUGAGGAAAUUUGAUAAAAGAACUAAACACUAAAAAAUGGAAAAACAAAAAGUGAAAAAAACUAAAGAGCAAGGAACAGCUUAAAGAAGAGCUCUAGAGGCCAGUUAUAAUGGCCAUUUGUCUCAAGUUGGUCCCUGGCAUAGAGCCUGAGUUCCUGGAGGCUUUCAAGGCUCUCCUUGAAAGUGAUCAGCUUUGGACUGGUUGUGAGCUGGGCUCCUCAACCGGAAAUCCUCCAGCAUCCUUCCACAGGCUGCGAGAGUGUAUCUUCAGCAGUGCCAAUCCUUUGCUGGUCAUGAGUUGCCGAGCAGAAUCUCAACUGCAAGCUUAUAGUGGAAAACUGGAAGAUCGAUCUUAAGUUCUCACCCAUGAGAGAUCCUUGCAAGGUGGUGGCAGGGACGAGUUUGUGGAGGUGGUGGAGCAGCUCAUGGGAGCUGAGAAUGGCGAUUCCUUUAGAUGUAAUGUGAAGGAGCUCAGCGAGGCUGCUCAGGGAGCAACAGUGAAAGAAGGCAGGAUCUUCAUAUGAAAGUUUGGACAAGUUCGUCAAGUUUCAUAAGGUAAUUUAUAUCCAAUGCCGCAGCUGGUGGCAGGACGAUCAUCGGGUAUGAGGGCGGGGCCAAUGCACAGACAGACCAACCACCAAGAGCACAUAAAGAUGAUACUUGAAAGUGUAUAGGUUGGUGGAAGUGUUAUUUUCCUUCCCAAAGAAAUAGAUGGCAUAAUCAAGAGGACUAAAAAAUUCCUGAAGGAGAACACUAGAAUAAAACCUUUGCAAAACGCACUGAUUCUUAAGCUCAGCCUUGGAGCCAGAAAGAAACGGCAGCACCUUCAUGAAGUAAGCUUGAAUUUCCUUUGUUCUUCGUCAAUGGGUUCUUCUACUGGUGCCGAGGGGCUCGCUCCUCACGCAGCGGUUCUUCCCAUUCCAACUCUAGGCCACAUCACUCCAUUCCUCCAUCUCUCUAGAGCUCUGGCCUCGCGAGGCUUCGUCAUAACUUUUAUCAACACGGAGGGCAACCACAGGGACUUGAAGGACAUCGUUUCACAGGAGGAGAGCUUUGGCUCUGGUGGCAGCAUUCGUUUCGAGACGGUCCCCGGGGUCCAAACGAGCGAGGCCGACUUCACGGCCCCGGAGACGCGGCCAAUGUUCUUCGAGGCAUUGAUGGCGAUGCAGGGUCCAGUGGAGAGCUUGCUCGUCAGGAGCAUGGCAAGAGACGAUGAUCUCGUUCCUCCGGUCUCAUGCUUCAUCUCGGAUAUGUUGUUCCCGUGGUCCACGGAAGUACCCAGAAGGAUCGGAAUCCCAGAGGUCAAGUUCUGGGUCGCCAGUGCUUCUUGCGUUUUGCUCUACUCCUCGUAUCCCCAAAUGCUGGAGAAGGGAGACAUUCCAGUCCAAGGUAAAGCUGCUUUCUUCUUUUUUAUUUUUCCUUCUUUCGAGAAGCACUGACGUCCAUAUACGUGUUCCACCAGAUCGUUCCAUUGAGAAGCGCAUAACUUACGUAGACGGCUUGUCACCACUACCAAUGUGGAGCCUCCCGGGCGACUUUUCUGCCAGUGACGACGACCCGGGAUUCGCUCGCGGAUACGCCAGAGCCAAGAGCUUCGCCACAACGUCGUGGGUUUUGGUCAACUCGUUCGAAGAACUCGAGGGCAGUGCCACCUUCCAAGCUCUCCGAGACAUCUCUCCCAAAGCAAUCGCAGUGGGUCCACUUUCCACCAUGGUCCCCGGCUCCAGCAAUGCAAGCUUGUGGACGGAAGACACCGAGAGUUUAUCCUGGCUCGGCAAGCAAAGUCCCGGCUCGGUUCUCUACAUUUCCUUGGGCACCAUCGCGACUCUCAGCUUCGAUCAGUUCAAGGAGUUCUCCGAGGGACUGAGGCUUCUCCAGCGUCCGUUUAUCUGGGCCAUCCGACCCAAGUCGGUCGCCGGUAUGGAGCCCGAGUUCCUGGAGCGUUUCAAGGAGACCGUGAGGAGCUUUGGACUGGUUGUGAGCUGGGCUCCUCAGGUGGACAUCCUCCGCCACCCUUCCACGGCUGGAUUUCUCAGUCACUGCGGCUGGAACUCCAUCCUCGAGAGCGUAGCAUCCGCGGUGCCCAUGCUUUGCUGGCCGUGCGUCGCGGAGCAGAAUCUAAACUGCAAGCUAAUAGUGGAGGACUGGAAGAUCGGUCUCAAGUUCUCGCGCGUGGCCAUGCCGGAUCCUCACGAGGUGGGGGUAGCGAGGGACGAGUUUGUGGAGGUGGUGGUAGCGAGGGACGAGUUUGUGGAGGUGGUGGAGCGAUUCAUGGGUGCUGACAGUGAGCAUUUGAGGAUUAACAUCAAGAAGCUGAGCGAGGAGGCUCGUAGAGCAGUGUCUAGAGGUGGCUCCUCGUAUGAAAACCUGGAGAGAUUUGCUCAAGCAGUGAAAACUUCCUAAACUUUGAUCCAAAGUCAACUCUAUUCAAGAAUAUACUACCCUCGAUAUACUUCUUUCUCUCUCUCUCUCAAGAUUGGAUUGGAAAGACGAGAUAAGCACGCGCGUUGCGCGUAUAAUGGGUUCCAAGAUCACACCUCAUGUUGUCGCCGUUCCUCUCCCAGCUCAAGGCCACAUCUCUCCACUCUUGCAUCUCUGCCAAGCUCUCGCUUCUCAUGGAUCCAUCCUCAUCACUUUCGUCAACACGGAGGCCAAUCAAGACAGCAUCAAGGAAAUGCUGGGAGAUGGCGUCGAGGGCAUUCGCUUCGAGACCUUCCCCGGGCUGGAGGCGGCUUACCACGGCCUCGACUUGACCCAGCUCGAGAAUCGCCAGAUCUUCUACCGGGCUAUGGUCGACAUGGAAGCGCCAGUGGAGAGGCUGCUACGAGAGAAGAUCAUCGCCAAGGGCCCCCCUGUUUCGUGCAUCGUCUCCGAGUUGUUCCCCUGGAUGAGAGAUCUGGCGGCCAGAAUCGGAGUUCCAAGCGUUUACUUCUGGCCUACGAGUGCUGCUUGUGUUCUUCUGGAUUUUUCCAUUCCCUUGCUCUUGGAGAGAGGAGACAUACCCGUCGAAGGUAUGAUUAUCAACCAUGGUUCCUUACUUAUUUUCUUUUCCAUGGUUUCUUCCAGAUUUCUCUAUGGACAAAUCCAUCGAGUACGUGCGUGGCUUGUCACCAUUGCCUGUGUGGAGUCUUCCCCGGGUUUUUGCUUUCAGGGAUGAUCCAAGUUUCACUCGCAGGUACGAGAGGCUAAAAAACAUCCCCCAGAAUUCUUGGUUCCUGGCCAACACUUUCGAGGAGCUCGAAGGUGGCGCGCUUGAGGCCGUGAGAGAUUACAUCCCAAGGAUAAUACCCAUAGGUCCCGCGUUUCUAUCUUCACCAUCCAUGAAAAAUGCAAGCCUCUGGAAGGAAGACAACGAGUGCUUAGCAUGGCUCAACGAGCAAGAAGAAGGAUCCGUGCUCUACAUAGCUUUUGGUAGCAUCGCCACCCUGAGCUUGGAACAAGCUAAAGAGAUAGCAGCAGGGCUGGAAGAACUCCAGAGGCCAUUUCUAUGGGGGAUUCGUCCAAAGUCUGUGCCGGGUAUGGAGCCCGAGUUUCUGGAACCGUUCAAAGAGAGAGUAAGAAGUUUUGGGCGAGUUAUAACUUGGGCUCCCCAGCGAGAAGUUCUCCAGCAUGCUUCUAUUGGGGGAUUUUUCACUCACUGUGGAUGGAAUUCUGUGCUGGAAAGCAUGGCUGCUGGUGUGCCUAUGAUCUGCCACCCUUGCGUUGCGGAACAAAAUCUGAAUUGCAAGUUGGUGGUGGAAGAUUGGAAGAUUGGAUUGCGAUAUUCCAAUGUGGGAUCUGGGAAGCUUGUGGUGAGGGAUGAAUUUCAAAAGGUGGUGAAGAAAUUGAUGGAAGAUGACAAUGGUAUUGCGCAAUACAUGAGGAGUAAUGCAAAGAAGCUGAGUGAAGAAGCUAGAAAAGCAGUGUGUGUGGGGGGCUCUUCAUACCAAAAUCUGGAAAAUUUUAUCUUGUCACUAAAAUAAUAAUUUUAUUCCAAUAGUUUGCUUAAUUUAUGUAUGUAAGAAAGUCUUCAUUACUUCGGCAAAUCUCUCCAGGUUUUCAUACGAGGAGCCACCUCUAGACACAGCUCUAUGAGCCUCCUCGCUCAGCUUCUUCACGUUAAUCCUCAAAUGCUCACUGUCAGCUCCCAUGAAUCGCUCCACCACCUCCACAAACUCGUCCCUCGCCACCACCACGUCGCGAGGAUCCGACCUCGUCAUGUUCGAGAACUUGAGACCGAUCUUCCAGUCCUCCACCACUAGCUUGCAGUUUAGAUUCUGCUCCGCGACGCACGGCCAGCAAAGCAUGGGCACCGCGGAUGCUACGCUCUCGAGGAUGGAGUUCCAGCCGCAGUGACUGAGAAAUCCAGCCGUGGAAGGGUGGCGGAGGAUGUCCACCUGAGGAGCCCAGCUCACAACCAGUCCAAAGCUCCUCACGGUCUCCUUGAAACACUCCAGGAACUCGGGCUCCAUGCCGGUGACCGACUUGGGUCGGAUGGCCCAGAUAAACGGACGCUGGAGAAGCCUCAGUCCCUCGGAGAACUCCUUGAACUGAUCGAAGCUGAGAGUCGCGAUGGUGCCCAAGGAAAUGUAGAGAACCGAGCCGGGACUUUGCUUGCCGAGCCAGGAUAAACUCUCGCUGUCUUCCUCCCACAGGGCACUGUUGCGUGGUUCGGAGCCGGGGAUCAUGGUGAAAACAGGACCCACUGCGAUUGUUCUGGGAGAGAUGUCUCGGAAAGCUUGGAAUGCGGCACUGCCCUCGAGUUCUUCGAACGAGUUUAUCAAAACCCACGAGGUUGUGGCGAAGAUCUUGGCUCUAGCGCACUUGCCAGCGAAUCCCGGGUCGUCGUCAUUGGCAGAAAAGUCGCCCGGGAGGCUCCACAUUGGUAGUGGUGACAAGCCGUCUACGUAAGUUAUGCACUUCUCAAUGGAACGAUCUGGCGGAAGACGUUAGAGCUUCUCGAAAGAAGGAAAGGGAAAAAAAGAAAGAUACCUUGGACUGGAAUGUCUCCCUUCUCCAACAUUUGCGGAACCGCGCACUCGAGCAAAACGCAAGAGGCACUGGCAGUCCAGAACUUGACCUCUGGGAUUCCAAUCCUUCUUGUUACUUCCGCGGACCACGGGAAGAACAUAUCCGAGAUGAAGCACGAGACCGGAGGAACGAGAUCAUCGUCUCUGGCCAUGUUCCUGAUGAGCAAGCUCUCCACUGGAGCCUGCAUCUCCAUCACUGCCUCGGAGAACAUCCGCCGCUUCUCCGGGACCGCCAAGUCGACGUCGCUUGCUUGGAUGCCCGGGACCGUCUCGAAGCGAAUGCCGCCACCACAGCCAUAGCUCUCCUUCGAAACGAUGUUCUUCAAGUCCCGCUGGUUGCCCUCCGUGUUGAUGAAAGUUAUGCCUGUAGGAAUAAUGAUGAACACGACAAGCAGUCCGAAUCGUGAUCAGAUCUCUGGUGAUUUCUGAUUUGAUUGAAGUUGUAUAUAUAUACAGCCAUAAAUGAAUCAAUGCGUGUUGAAGUGAAAUUCCGUUGUUCUUGCUCCGCUUUUCUUUCUUGGUAUCGGAGUGCUGGUUUCUGAACUCUUUCUUCUCCUUUCUUUGUGCCUUGCAUCAUGAGCUGCAGCAAAGUUGGAUUGAUCUUGCUUCAGGGAGUCACUGCCUUUGAUGGGAGGAGAGGGUUCAACACUUGGUCCGAGAAAAUGAUGCGCGUGCUGCAGAUGGAAGAACUCUGGGAAAUCGUUUCACCACCAACAAUCGCUGCAGAUGCUCGUACGCGGCGAGCCCCUGCUGUGUUGGGAGCUUCAACUUCAGUGGAAGGAGAAGUCGUGGAUGAAGAGGCAAUUCGUGCCUCUGUUGCAGCAGCUCGACAACAGCUUGAUCCAGGGGAACAAGCUGCGCUGGAGAAGAAGGAAUCUCGAGCAAAAGGAUUGAUUCUUUCUAAGCUUGCAGAUGCCCUUAUGAUGCGUUUGCGUCAUAAGUGUGCUUGUGAGAUCUGGGCUCAUCUCCACAACAAGUAUGCUGUUCUUUCCCUCUCCAAGAUUAGCAUGGUCGAGACUUGCAUUCGUGAGACCCGUUUUCAUCCAGGUGAGAACUUUGAAGAGUUCCUCGCCAAGAUGCAAGAUCUGUGGAUGGAGCUUGAAGGCAGUCCAGCAGCGUUCAACGAAAGCAAGAAAGUUCUGGCACUUUGCGAGGCCAUGCAAGAUUCUUCUUUUAGUUCUUUCGUCCCUACCGUUCGCAUGAUGUCGCUCAACUUUGAACAAGCUGAGCAAACUUUACGCUCGGAGCUGGCUGCGAGAGGUUUAAUUGUGGACUUUGAUCAGAGGCCUUCCCAUGUUUUGAUCUCACAGUCUACAUCAAAUGCUUCUGCAUCAAGCAAUCAGUCAGGGACUGAUUCAGCUCUGUGGGCUGGAAAUCAUCGAGGCAGAGGAGGCCGCGGAAGAGGAGGACAAGGCAGAGGUCGCGGGUUUAGGGGAAAUCCGCAGCAGCAGCAGAAUUCAGGGAAUUCUGGUAAAGAAGCAGCAGUUCGGGAUUGUUUUGUGGGCAAGAACAAACAGGAAUGCUGGACCUGUGGGAUGCCAGGGCACUACUCCAAGGAUUGCCCAGUUGCAGCUUGGCUGCAGCGCAUGAACAUAGGGCUCGCAGCAAAUGCUCAGGAAGGGGAAACACAGGAACUUGUGGCAUCAUCUGAGGUAGCAGUUCCAAACGUUUCUGAAAAACUGACCAUCGAUUCAGGUUCAGAGAGACACCUGAUGCAAAGCGAGUCGAACUUUGUGCAGUUGCAUGCUGCAAAAGGGAAGUGCAUUCGUGUGGGAGAUGGAAGCAUUUUACCUGUUCGCGCAACUGGGGAUGUGCGAGUUCCACUGGGAAGAAAGUCUCUGCUCUUGAAGAAUGCGUGGUAUGUUCCAAAGAUAGUGAAGAAUCUGGUUUCUGUAGCCAGGCUUACGGAUGAAGGUCUGGAUGUGAAUUUCUCCAAACAUCAAUGUCAAGUUCUUGCAAAUGGCCGUCCAUUACUGCAUUUUCCCAGAUGUGGUAACCUGUUUGAGAAGGAGAUAGCUUCUGGAGAAAAAUCGAAUGCUCCUGAGAUAUGCAUGACUGCAGAUAGUUCUCUCUGGCAUUCUCGACUUGCACAUGCCAAUCCCCCUCUCAUCAGGCGUAUGCAGAAGCAAGAGCUUGUGGAUGGCUUCAACGACCACGUUCUUCAAAGUUCAGCAAAAUGUCACACUUGCAUUCUUGGCAAGCAAACCCGUCGUACUUUCAAACCUGCUGUGACCAGAAGCACUUGUCCCUUGCAGCUCAUUCACUCAGAUGUUUGUGGACCCAUGCGACUGUUUGCUCAGAAUGGCACGAAGUAUUUUGUGACAUUUACAGAUGAUUUCUCCAGGCACACGGACGUCUUCUUUCUUCGUCACAAAGAUGAAGUCUUUAGCAAAUUCAAGCAAUUCGUAGUAGAAGCCGAAGUGAAAACUGGUCAGAGGGUUGGUUGUUUACGUACUGAUUCAGGAGGGGAAUACGUCAACAAGUCCUUUCAGCAGUUCUGUGCUGAACGAGGAAUUCUUCAUCAGCGCUCUUGCUCUCAUACCCCUCAACAGAAUGGAGUCUCUGAGCGCAAGAAUAGGACAAUCAUGAACGCAGUUCGGUGCUUCCUUCAAGAAUCAGGACUACCAAAAUUCCUCUGGGCUGAAGCAGUUGGAUCAGCUGUGCAUGUUCAAAACCUUCUCCCUCAUUCUCGCAAUCCCAACAAGAUCCCAGAAGAGCUUUGGACUGGUCAAAGACAAUCGGUGGUGCAUCUUAGGCGUUUUGGUUGUUUAAGCUUUGCAAAAAGGGUGGAUGAGCAUCUUGGCAAGUUGGAGAGCAGAAGCAAGCUGGCCUUUCUUGUUGGAUACGAUUCCAAUUCAAAAGGAUAUCGCCUGUACCAGCCUGGUAAUCAUCAAAUCUUUGUAAGCACUGAUGUUCGUUUUGAUGAAGGAACACUCUACAAAGAUCAUGUUCAAGAAGAAGGAAGCUCAGAUCAGAACAUGAACUGGACUCCGGAAGAAUGGAGUUGGGAUGGUGUUGAAGACGGUGAUGAAGAUGACGAUGAUCUGACAAUCAUCUAUCCCUCAUCUCCUUUAGCAGAUGAUCAUCCAACACCAAUCUCUGGAUCUUUUCUUCCUGAAGAACAGGGCGAUACUACUCAUCGUGCACGAACUGGAGAAGUCGACAGGCUCACACGAGAUCUACCAUUCAAUGUGGAGAACUAUGGGCGGACAUCAUCUAGACGAUCAAGCAGAGCACCUCAUCCCAAGCAAUGGUCUUUUGCAGCAACAGAAAUAGCUUCUGAACCAGUCAACUUUGAGCAGGUGAUUCAAGCUCCUGAUGCAGAUAAGUGGAUUUCAGCAAUGCAAGAUGAGUUGAAUUCUCUUGAUGAGAACCAGACUUAUGACUUGGUGGAAGCUCCUGAAGGACGUGAAGUUGUUGGAUCACGCUGGGUGUUCAAGCUUCACAGAAAUCCUGAUGGAUCAGUACAGCGUUACAAAGCAAGACUUGUUGCUCAAGGAUAUUCACAAGUUCCUGGAGUGGAUUUUGAUGAGACGUUCUCACCAAUUGUGAAGCAGACAAGUAUCAGAAUGCUUCUGGCUUUUACAGCGGAGUUUGGUUUGUGCGCACAUCACAUGGACGUAAAAACAGCCUUCCUUAAUGGGAACUUGAAGGAGGAGAUAUUUAUGCGGCAACCCCCAGGCUUUGAGCUUUUUGGAUCACGGUGCUCCGAACUCGUCUGCAAGCUUCGCAAGGCUCUUUAUGGCCUUAAGCAAGCUUCCCGUCAGUGGUAUGAAUGUUUGGAUUCUUUUCUUAUGGAUCUCGGUAUGCAGAGGUUGAACAGCGAUGGAAAUCUAUAUCUUCUUAGCAACAAUCACACUGUUUUGAAGGAUGUGAAGAUCAAGCUUAUGAACAGGUUUGUGAUGAAGGACUUAGGAGCUGUGCGGCAGCUGUUAGGGAUGGAAGUUGACAGGGAUGAAGCAGACAGGACAAUCACCCUCACACAGUGCCAAUAUGUGAAGAAGCUUCUCAACCAGUUCAACAUGACAAGUUGCAAAUCCGUGGCUACACCAGUCGUCACUGGCAUCAAGUUCACAAGCAAGAUGGAUGAUUUAUUUGAUCAGCCCUCGGUCUAUCGAUCGCUUGUUGGAGGACUACUCUACCUCGCCAACAUGACUCGCCCUGACAUCUCCUUUGCCGUUGGUCUCCUCAGCCGAUACAUGCAGUCUCCGAGUUGUUAUCAUUGGCAGAUGGCGAAGAGAGUUUUGAGAUAUUUGAAAGGAACAGCUGCUCAUGGAUUGGUUUACAAAUGCUCAGGUCAAUCCAAACUUGUUCUUCAAGCUUACUGCGAUGCAGAUUGGGCUGGCAACUUGGAUACACGACAUUCAACCUCCGGAAUUUGCUGCAUAAUUGCUGGUGCUCCGGUUUCAUGGGGAAGCAAGAAGCAAACGACGGUUGCUCUUUCCAGUGUAGAAGCAGAAUACGUAGCUGCCAGUACAGCAGCAAGGGAGAUCAUCUGGCUUCGUCGAUUACUUGGAGAACUCAAUCAACAGCAAUCAGAUGCGACCAUUCUGCAUUGCGACAGCAGAAGUGCAAUCGCCAUGUCAAAGAAUCCUGUGUUUCAUGCUCGUACGAAACAUAUAGACGUGCAGCAUCACUUCAUUCGCGAACAUGUAGCAGCCAGAGAUCUUCACCUGGAAUACGUUCCUUCACAGUAUCAGUUGGCGGACCUUCUAACCAAGCCACUUUCGGAGCUCACAUUCAUCAAGCUGAGGAAUCAACUUGGAGUGUCAAGCACACCCUCAGCUUGAAGGGGGAGUGUAGGAAUAAUGAUGAACACGACAAGCAGUCCGAAUCGUGAUCAGAUCUCUGGUGAUUUCUGAUUUGAUUGAAGUUGUAUAUAUAUACAGCCAUAAAUGAAUCAAUGCGUGUUGAAGUGAAAUUCCGUUGUUCUUGCUCCGCUUUUCUUUCUAUGCCGAAGCCUCGCGAGGCCAGAGCUCUUGAGAGGUGGAGGAGUGGGGAGAUGUGGCCUUGGGUUGGAAUGGGAAGAACCGCUGCGUGAGGAGCGAGCCUCCUGGCACCAGUCGAAGAGCCCAUUGACGGAGAAAAGGAAAAGCUAAACAGUUCUCAAGCUUUUACUUCUUGUGUGCUCUCACGACGAAGGCAAAACAGGCUGGAUCCAGUGCUCCACAUUGUGCUAUCGUCAACUUAUAAGCUACCACCCAAAAUGUUCAAAGAUUGAAAGUUCUUCACCUUUGCUACUCUUCCAUUGCUUGGUGCCUUGAGGACGAGGAUGGAAAUUCUGGCCUGGCAAAGUAAAGCCUGGAAUCCAUUUGCUUAGUGCUUGUGUGUACACGAUCAAAGAGAGAACUGAAUUGCUGCUGUCUUGUUUCCAUCAUCAUACCAAGAGAAAAAGUGCUAAACAGCGAAACAGCUGGCCAAGGAAAAACGACAGACAACCGAAUCGAACUACAGACCAUCUUUAUAUUAUAUAAUAUAAUGUUUAUUUAAAUUUUCUAAGUAAAAAAUAAUAACUGAUCUUUUUGAACAACUUAUCAAAGAAACAUUAUUUUAAUAAAGAAUGAAAUUUAUUUUGAAAUCUCAUGAGCAACAUAAAUGAAAAAAUAGGUAUUAUGAAUAGUUAUCCUGCAUGAUAAAAUAUUCAGACAAAAAUAAUUGUAUAAAUAAUAAAAUUAAAAAAGAAUAUAUUCAUAGACAAAGAACCUAGGUUGGAAUUUUUCUGGACCGCCAGUGCCUCUUGCGUUUUGCUCGAUUGCUCGUUUCCGCGAAUGCUGGAGAAGGGAGACGUUCCAGUCCAAGGUAAAGCUUCUUUCUUCUUUUUUAUUUGUCCUUCUUUCGAGAAGCACUAACGUGUUCCGCCAGAUCGUUCCAUUGAAAAGUACAUCACUUACGUAGACGGCUUGUCACCACUGCCAAUCUGGGGCCUCCCGCGCGACCUUUCUGCCAUUGACGAAUCAAGAUUCGCUCGCAGAUACGCUAGAGCCAAGAGCUUCGCCACAACAUCGUGGGUUUUGGUCAACUCGUUCGAAGAACUCGAGGGCAGUGCCACCUUCCAAGCCCUCCGAGACAUCUCUCCCAAAACAAUCGCAGUGGGUCCUCUUUUCACCAUGGCCCCCGGCUGCAACAAGGCAAGCUUGUGGAAGGAAGACACCGAGAGUUUAUCCUGGCUCGGCAAGCAAAGUCCCGGCUCGGUUCUCUACAUUUCCUUGGGCAGCAUCGCCACUCUCAGCUUCGAUCAGUUCAAGGAGUUCUCCGAGGGACUGAGGCUUCUCCAGCGUCCGUUUAUCUGGGCCAUCCGACCCAAGUCGGUCGCCGGCAUGG
rnacentral:lncRNA from 1 species